rnacentral:lncRNA from 1 species
GGUGGUAGAAGGAAGAGUACUUUCCUAGGGUCAUGAUGAAGUCCAGUGGAGUGUGUUGGGGUAAGAAACAAUGAAAUGGCUGCCCUGGGUGCCCUCCUUCAGUGGAAGAUCUGGGAGGAGAAAUGACUUAACAACUUAACUUUCAGAUCCUGAAUGCAGUACUAGCUGAAUAUGUACUCUGCUCAGAUGAGAACAAGGAUUUUCUUGGAAGAGCUGGCUUAUUGUUUGAUUCAGACAAAGAGUGCCUUAUCUGGGCCAACUAUACUGAACUCAAGUACAUAUUGGGAAAAUUUUGAAGACUCUCACCUUCAUCACCUGCCAUUUAACCAUGAGGGAAAAGAAAAGGAAAGGAAAAAAGAAAUCAGAAUUCAUUCCGGAACAAAUAACUUCAGGCAAGAGGAAACAAAAGUUCAAAAAUCUUGCAGACCUCAGCAAAAAGGCCUCUGAGGAAAUGACAUGACUACAUUAUAUCCUGGACAAAACCAAGUCAACAUUCCCUUGGCUUUAUAAUUACUGGAUAGACAAUUAUUUACAGGUGGGAAAAAAGAAAGAAAAACUCAAGUGUACGUAUCUGUUAUCAGAUGAGAAGGUGCUUUGAGCACUGAUAUAAAAACUAAUUCUCAGACUUGGAUAUUUUUUAAUGACAAAAUAUUUCUAUGUGGACAGUAUCACCUCAAAAAACUUGUAUGUGUGACAGAGUGUGUGCCAGGGUGACAUGAGAGCUCCACCCUACCCUCCCCACCUCCCCACCAGAGCCCAGUCAACCACUGAAUAGAUCCUUCUGUGAGCUGGAGCACAGGGACAAACCAUUCUAUGUCAAAGACUUGCCAAGGCACUGCACUGACUUGAACUCCAAUAAGAAAAUUUCAAAUCCGCCCUGUUGGUUGCCAGUAAACGAGGAUUUCUGAGAGAGUGGAAC